AGCACCCAGACACGGGCGUUGACCCGAGCUCCUGGUCUCUCUAAUCUCUCUCUCUUUCCUCCGUCGUCUCCUCACCGGAGCAGCGCCGUCCAGCCACCGCUGGCGACGAGACUGCCACCAAAGUGAUCCUCUCCUCCUUCUUGACGUAGCUCCGUUCUUGAAUCCCGGAGGCAUCCACUAUCGACGGAGAUUGGAAGAGGAGGACGACGACUGUUCUUCACAAAUUCCGGCGAGUCACAGUGACGAAUCGACGAACCAAGGUCCUAUUCUUGAUCUCCUUCCUCUCCUCUUCUUUUAUGGGUUUGUUUCAUCUUGAAUCGAGCUCCAACUUGACAACCCCAUUUUCUGCCUAAAAAGGGAUUUCCGGCGAGCCAUCGCCAUCGACGCCGACGAGGCUGCUCGGCGCUCCCCCUCUCCCUUCUGAUGUGGCAUCGAUCACCAGGGAGCCAUGACUAGGUUAUAUGGAGACAAAAGGUGUUCUACUGCUGUGUUGGAGGAGACCCGAAUUCCGGCAAGGAAGUUACUGCCGGUGAGGGGAAGCUUAAGACGUCGUUGUUGUUGUGCUGCAGCGAAGUAGGAGGCUACUUGUAGGCUAUAUGGUGGUGGGAGGUCUUUACUUGUCGAUUGAGGGUGAAGGUUGGCUGAGCAGAGGGCAGUGUUGAUGUCCAUGAGCAGUUUUGAUGGCAGGGGUAAGUUUAUGUACUUUCAAAUGUAUCUUGAGUUGGAUGCUUGACUUUGGAGAUGGUUAAUGGCUGAUAUUGUUGUUUGGUGAAUUUCAUGUCGAUAACUUGGUGAUUCGGAAUUUACAAGGAGACUAUGGCAAAUUUUCCGGCGAGUGACGGGAAUCCGGUGAAGUUUUCUGGCGAAGCAGCAGAUCCGGCAGAGAGUCGAGAAGGUAGUUUUUGAGCAGCCUUUCUAAUUUAAGUCGUAGUGCAAUUGAUUUUGAUUAUGGUGAGGUUAUGAUUAACAAGUUCAGUUGUGCCAUUUGAGUGAAUAUUGGAUUAUGUGAUUUGGUCAUUACGUUUAUAAGUGUUGUAAUAAAUAUGGACGGUUUUGUUAAAUGGAGAAUCUGACUUCAAUUAUGGAAAAUUAUUACUGGGUGGCUCUUAAAGAAGUUGGUCUAAUAAAGGAUUUAGGUAGUGGCUUUUUCGAACAAUUCUUGUUUCCAUUACUCAAAUUGUCUUGUUUAGGAGUAAUGAAACAUUACCUAAAGAGGUCCAACUGGGAAAUGUUAAUUAGAAACGGAAGUGUGGUCACAUUACCCUAAUGAGCUUAGUACGUUAGGUGAAUUGUUGAGGAAGGGAUGCUACGAAAUUUGGGUUAAGUAUUAAUUGGCAAUUAUCAGUUUUGAUUAGGGAUCAAAUAUGCGUAAGCUUACUCAAUUGAGUUACUUAUUAAGGUCUCGAUCGUGUUAGUGUGGCACCAAAAGAAGUUAGAUCGAUAAUGGACCGUUGAGGGAAUUGUGGAGCCUUUGACCAUGGAGUCUCGGCUGAUAAUUAAUGCAACCGAAUCACUGUGAGUGGACACUUUAUUUUUAAAGGAAUAUGCAUGCAUGAUUUUAUAAGUUGUCAAUUAUAUUUUCUGAGCUUAAAUUAUGAUUUCAGCUUUUGAAUUGGUUAUGGAAUUUAUUUGAGAUUGACUGAUUGGUUAUGUUUUUGAUAAUGAAUUUAUGGAUUUGAGCUUGGGUAAGUUUUGGUAUUUGAAUUAUGAUAUCCUUUUGAUCUCUGGAUUUGAGAUUUCUUUAAAGAUUUGAGUAUGGUUUAAUUUUUGAAAAAAAUGUUAAUGAGAUGAGUUAUUUAUUUCAUUGAGCAUUUUAACGUGUGGGACACGUCAUUGAAUUUAAUUAUUUUCUUUGCUCUUUGAAUUCUUUGAGUACGGUUGGGAAUCGUACUUAUGCUUUAAUUUUGAGUUUCGGGGAAACUCACAUGGAUUUAUGUUUCUUUAUUUAUGCCAUACUUAUUGGAUCGUUAUUAUUCAUGUUAGCAUGUUGUUCCGCCUUUCGAGGCGAUGUAACUUCCACGUUUUAAGUGGGGUUACUCAAGCCCUUUCCGCCUUCGGGUGAUGUGAUGUAGUCGACGACAUCACGCAAGCCCUACAUCCUCUCUGUUAUCAUAAUAUGAAGGUGUAGGGAGUAUGAGAGUACUAUUGCCUGGGAGGCAACCGAGUCUGGGAGGCUCACUUGUAUGGCUAUAACUGUUUCUUAUUUAUUGUUGUUGACUUGACUAGCGGGGCUAGUCCAUCUUUUUGUUAUUCCUUUUGACGAAAGUCUUUAUGAAUCUUUAUUGUCGUUUUAACUAGCAGGGCUAGUCUCUUGUUUUGGUACCUUCUUCUAUGAAGGUUAUUAUUUAUCUUUGUCAUUAAUUUGACUAGUGGGGCUAGUCCGUUUUCUUGGGAUUUUCUUUAUGAAAGAUUUGUCAACACUUGCAUGCAACGGAUUUAUUGCAUAUUGGAAAGUGGGAAAGUAUUUAAGUUUUAGUUUCUUAUCCUAUGUUUAUUUUCGUCCACUCACUCUAACGUUUUUAAAUUACUUUCCCCUGGGCCCUUUGGUUUUAAAUGCCCAGAUUGCAGGCUCAGUCUAAGUGAGGUCGAGCGUACAUGGAGUCGAGGCAUAGUCAGAGGCUGCUUCCGCUUAUUCUUUAUUCAUUGUUUUUCAUUUAACUCUAGAUAUGCUCUGAUAAUCAGUUAGUGAAUUAAUGUUGGUUAUUGUUGGUUGUGGGUUUAGUUUAGUUGAGUAAUUGUUAUAUUGGGAGAUGUGUUGAACUUGGGUGAGCAGGAAGGCUCCAGGUGUUGAGGAUAGAUGUUUGGUUAUAGAAGUGUUAAGUUAGAUUUUUCAGGUAAGGGUCGUCUAUUUUUAAGGAAGGUUAUGCCGAAUUUUCGGUAAAUUUUCCUUGAAGGUGGACCCCGCAGGAUUUACUUCGGGUUUCAGGGUGAAAUUCGGGGUGGAUCCUGUCAAAAUAUAUCAUAAUUCAUCGGCUUAAAUCAUCUUAGCCGACGAAAUAAGUCAUAAUUCGUCGGCUAAGAUGAGGUUAGCCGACGAAUACCCUAAUAUUUCAUCGGCUAAACCCUAAACCCUAAACCCUAAAAUUUUUAUAUGACUUGUUGGGUCUCAUCGGUUUGAAACUAUUUUCAGUUGAAGGUCCGGGAAAAAUACGUAAUUUAGACGGUCCAAUGUUGUUUUCCGUGCGUUUAGGGGUUUGACUUACGGGAUUGACCGUCCGGAUCGAGCCCUUAACCUUGUCGAAUCAAGUUGAAUUUUUUCCCAUACAUGUAUUUUAUCAUGAUGGUCAGAUCUGACAGUGAGAUUUUGAUUUCUCAAGUUUGAUCAUCACAAUCACAACAUGCCUACUAAUGUUGUAUAACUUGUUUACCAAGUGUUUAAGUAAAUGUUCCAUUUCAAAAAUAAACUAAACUUAGAACCUACAAACGCAAAAAAGUCGUGAAAUAAGAUAUGACCAGAAUGGUGAAAUACGUCUACGGUUGAAAAAUCAAGGUAUUCCAGUAAAGUCUCAGUGCCGAUAAUUGCGGUCAAUGCAAUUUUCCAUUAUUUAUCCCUAUGGGUAGCCCUAUCUUCGGUGAUUAUUUUCCGUAAAAUUUUUAUAUGACUUGUUGGGUCUCAUCGGUUUGAAACUAUUUUCAGCUGAAGGUCCGGGCAAAAUACGUAAUUUAGACGGUCCAAUGACCUUUUCCGUGCGUUUAGGGGUUUGACUUACGGGAUUGACCGUCUGGAUCGAGCCCUUAAUGUUGUCGGAUCAAGUGGAAUUUUUUCCCAUUCAUGUAUUUUAUCAUGAUGGUCAGAUUUCCCUUUCUCAAGUUUGAUCAUCACAAUCACAAUUGGCCGAAUGUAUAAAAGGUACUUUAGCCGACGAAUUUCAACGUUUAGUCGACGAAUUUCAAGGGUUUAGCCGACGAAUUUCAAAUGUUUAGCCGACGAAUUUCAACCUUUAGCCGACGAGUUUCGUCUUAGCCAACGAGAUUUUAUAGCUUUAGCCGACGAAAUAUUUAUUUCGUCGACUAAAGUUGUCGGGUUAUAUCGCGCUGCGCUCGACAGCCUCCCCAAUCUACGAGACUAAACCCUAAACACCACCUCCACCUCCUCGCCUGCCUCGCCGUGACGCCGUCGCUCCAUAGCCUCCACCACCUCCUAGCAAAGCCCAAUCUCCCUCUCCUGGUCGCCCUCUCUCUCUCCUGGUCUCCCUCUCCCUCUCCCUAUCCUCCUGCUGCUCCAGCUGCUCCGUGAUAGGAGCACAAAGUGUGACGUUCUUAAUAUGUUUAUACCCUUUAUUUACCCUUUAUUAACUCAUAUUUAGUUGUUUUAGCUUUAUAUUUGUGUUUAGUGUAGAAUAAUUGCUUAAUUUAGAAAUAUGUAGUUUUUAGUAUUAGAAUACAUAGUAUUUUCGGAUUUGAAUAAUUUGGUGUUGAAAUUGUGCUGAGUGUUGGAAACCCUUGUUUACUCAGGAUUCCUGUCUUGAUCAAGAUUCCAUCUUUCCUCGAAGCCUAGUCCAUGAAGGAGAGGUCCAAACCAAGUCCAAUAUGGAGAAGAAGAUCUAAAUUCGGCAGAAUUUCAAGAAUAUCCAAGCCCUUGAAAAUCCGGAUUAAAUCGGGAGAAUUCCUGUACACGUGUGUCAACUUCAACGGACUCUCCAGGACAGCUCACAAUGAAUCAGAAAACGUGCCAGAUAUGGAUAGAAAGCUACGGGAGUCUAGUUUCCAAAUCAAUUGGAAUCACCUCAAUAUCUGUUUUCUAGAGGGAGUUAUGACGCAAUCAUCAGACGGAGGUCAUUCUGCCGAAAGGGAGAAAAACUAAGAAUCCUAAACCAAUUUGGUUUAGGCUUUGUGGCCGACUUCUCUAGGGUUUUUCCUCUAUAUAAAGCACGACUUCAAGGACAGAAGAGCAUCAUCAACCCGUGCAAAUAACACCAAAGCCUUUGUCGAAACUCCAUCAACCUCCAAACACCACAAUCCGAUCCCACCUUCAGCAUUCGUCCAAAGCACGUAGCCUAGGACUCCGCGCACUCGAAGAAUAGAACAAGUAGGGAUAUUUUGAAAGUGUAUUUCAUCUUCUAUUUUCGGAUUGCUAUGUGUUUGUUCUUGUUUUUGUUUGCUUUAAGUAUUUGCUUAAGUAUGUUUCGAUUCUUGUCUAUGAGAUAGAAGUACUUUUGAGCCAUGUUAUGAAUUAAAGUUUACAAUUUAUAAUCAAUGAUUUGAGGUUUUAUGCCGUGAGUUUUAUGUCUAAAUACUUUAAGAUUUUCGGUGCUAUAUUCCAUUAUCAUGUGUAGUUGAUACAAGUAGUUGAUAUUGCAUGUGUUAAUCAUCCAAAGUUCGACUUUGAUACACGUAGUUGAUAAGUUGCAUUGUCUUUGUUUUUCACCGAUUUUCUACCUAUGUUUGAUUUGGACUUGUGCUUAAACACAUCAAAUUCUUUAUGUGAUACGUAAUUGCAUGAUUAGUUUAUGUGUGUGACCAAUAAGUAGAGCAUGUAGCCGAGCUUGUUGUGUCGCGAUGUUGAAUGAAACCUGUAGUCUAAUUCUAAGUUGGUCUAUGUCAUAGGAACCACGUAGGAACUUAUGUGCAUAUCAAAUUUAGGUUGUAUAUUUGCUCACGGUGUAGACUUAAAUGAGAUUAGAAAUCGUCUUCUUUAUUCUUGCAUGGUUGUUUGGUUGAGUUUGCAUGAAUGUUGGUUGAUCACAUAUAUAUAUGUAUAGAAGUAAUUUAGGAUUUAUUAUUCUUGUCUUUUCCGAAAUCAUAAAACCUGUAAACCUAUGUGCUUAUUUUGACACUUAUAUUAGAUUAGAUGGAUCUACCCUGUAGUUGGAUCCCCGGUUUAGAACGAUCCCUGCUUGCUUUAUACUACGAUUGAUUUGUUGACAGGGUUAAUUGAUGCGUGUGCAAAUACGUCUUAUCACUCCGGCCCUCCCUCCUCCUNNNN
rnacentral:lncRNA from 1 species